rnacentral:rRNA from 1 species
AUUGAACGCUGGCGGCAGGCCUAACACAUGCAAGUCGAGCGGAUGAAGGGAGCUUGCUCCUGGAUUCAGCGGCGGACGGGUGAGUAAUGCCUAGGAAUCUGCCUGGUAGUGGGGGAUAACGUCCGGAAACGGGCGCUAAUACCGCAUACGUCCUGAGGGAGAAAGUGGGGGAUCUUCGGACCUCACGCUAUCAGAUGAGCCUAGGUCGGAUUAGCUAGUUGGUGGGGCAAAGGCCUACCAAGGCGACGAUCCGUAACUGGUCUGAGAGGAUGAUCAGUCACACUGGAACUGAGACACGGUCCAGACUCCCACGGGAGGCAGCAGUGGGGAAUAUUGGACAAUGGGCGAAAGCCUGAUCCAGCCAUGCCGCGUGUGUGAAGAAGGUCUUCGGAUUGUAAAGCACUUUAAGUUGGGAGGAAGGGCAGUAAGUUAAUACCUUGCUGUUUUGACGUUACCAACAGAAUAAGCACCGGCUAACUUCGUG